GGGAAAGCCUUGGUUUCUUAAGGUGUCAGGAUAGGUGUUGGGAGACAAGUGACAAGGAAUUUUUUAGAGACCAAAUUAGUAGAUUUUCUCAGCUAAGGAAAUAAGUCAAUUCAAGCGGAAUUAGAAGUAAAAAAGGGCAGGUUUAUUUGGGAACGACUCCCAUGCGAGUUUGCCAGCCUCAGUGGGUGAGACCGGAAAAAGUCUUGGGCAGGCUGUGACAGGGAAGUUUUUUAUGGAUUGUAGGCGAAGGAUAAUCACGUGUCUGCUACACGCUGGGCUUGUGCCCUGUUGUGGUCAUCUUUUGGGGGGGGGGAAGGGGGGCUUAGGUGGCUGGCGACUUCAGGGGCGGGGUUGGGACAGCUGUCAGGAACUGGGCUUGGGUGCCUUUCUUCUGCUCAGAGGCUUUCCGGAGUGGGGGUUGGAGAGAGGGAGGGAUCGAGUUUACUGACUUGGGGGUGGUGGUGGUAGGGAUAGGGAGAUGGGUGAGGGGGCAAGCUGGAGGCUCCAACUGAACACAGAACAGCAGAAUAAUCCCUAGAAGCAAACUGUUUAAGCUGAACAGGUGGGUUUAAACUAGAGCCCCACUGAUCAAUAUAAGCUGCCUGAUCAGGACGCGUGGGGGCCGAUGAAACCUUGAGCCAGACUGCCUUCACGAUAGCGUUGUCCAGGGAACUGGUAGAUGGUCAUUUCACUUCAGAAGAGGAGCAGUUAAUCUCAAACCUACAUCUUUGGGAUUCUAGAAUAUACUGAAGACCAAUUGAGACAUCCAGCCCAAUGGACUGAACAACUGCUAGAUUCUUGGAACUUCCAUUGGAUUCUUGGACCUUCCAUUGGUAAAUAGCCAUUGUUGUGCUAGGUGAACCAUAGCCUAUAGGGCAUUUUAAUAAGUCCCCUUACACACACACACGCACACACACACACACACACACACACACACACACACACACACACACACACAAUCAUUCUAUCUGUUCAGUUCCUCUAGAAAACCCUGACUAAUACAAUAAUGUACUUUGAAGUUGAGAGCAUCUUUGGGAAAAUGGUCAAUAGUUCUGCCAGGGGUGGGGGUGGGAAUAUAGUUUGCUUUGAUUAAUGACAGCUGUUAGGAAAGCCACUCAUUUCUACAGCAUGAACUGAGGCCAGUGGGGUAUGGCCCCUCUUUAAGGCAAGUCCUUGUAGUAUUGAAUAGGAAUAGCCAUUCUUGAAAGCUGUGGUGUCAAAGCAAAUGAAAUCUACACCUAUGUCUCAGACCAGCAGCCUGGAUCACGUGGGUGCUGAUAAACUCAUGAAUUGUAGCUCCUUCCACAGCUCUCAUGUUGGAGUCUGCCUUCCAGCCAGAUUACCCGGUUAGCCACAUGCAGGGUGAAGCCUGAAUAACAAUUCUGUUUCAGCAGAGAUGUUCAAGGGGGUGAGCUGUGGACAGCUGGUGUGCUGGCUAGUUUUUGUCAGCUUGGUAUACACUAAAGACACUUAAGAAGAGGGAAACUUCAUUGAGGAAUUGCCUACAUCAGAUUGGCCCGUGGUCAUGUCCAAGGCAUUUAAAAUGAUGAACUUGAGAGGGCCCAGAUCACUGUGGAUAUUGCCAAUGCUGGGCACCUGGUCCUGGGAUAUAGAAGAAAGCAGAUUGAACAAGCCAAGAGGAUCCAGGCCAGUAAACAGCAGUGCUGUGGGCUCUGCUUCAGUUCCUGCCUCGACUUCCUUCAGCGAUGGACUAACUUUGACAUGGAAAUGUAAGAUGAAAUGAGCCUUUUUUCCUCAAGUAGGUCUUGGUCAGUGUUCUAUCAUAUAUUUUAACCUAUAGAAUACAUGCAUGCACACAUGCCCACAGGCAUACUCACAUGCACAGGCUGGUUUGGCAGGUCUAGAAAUCUGCUUCUCUCUCAGUUGAGAUUACAAGUCCAUGCUACCAUGUUCCCCCCUUCUUCCCUCCUUCCCUCCCUCUCUCCCUCUCCCUCUCCCUCUCCCUCUCCCUCUCUCUCUCUCUCUCUCUCUCUCUCUCCCUCUCUCUCUCUUCCUUUAAGGAGUUCUAAGUAUGGAACUCAGGUCCUCAUCAUUACAGGGCAAGCAAUUUACUGAGCUAGCCCUCUGGCUCUUUGUUUUUAACCACUAUGUGUGAUUGCUCUCCUGAAGCUAAACACAAACGCAGCAUUUUGGACAACAGUCAGAAAUGGACAGGUUUUCUGCUCUCGUGUUCAAUUAUGUCGCAACUAAUGUGACUUCUUGUCCUGAUUUGUCCAGGUCUGGGCAGUUUCCUGGAGUGUGGUGCUUUAAGCACUGGAAAUGGGACGACUGGCUGAUCACUCUGUUACAUCCAGACUCUAAGCAUGUCCACUUGUGACUUGAUUGCCAUAGUCAGGGUACUGAGCACAUAUUUUGCACAAAUCACUGAUGAUAUAUGGCCUGAAUCCCAGGUCUAGCUUCUUCUCUCCCCUGUAGUGCCUAGGGACAGUGGCCAAGUUCCUCUGCUCUGAAAAUAUUUAUCUGUGAGGCCAGAGAUGUCCAGUCUUUUAACAGCUUGACAUAAUGCUGUUGUGAACAGAUGUCACGGGCUGUUUUCAUGAUUAUUCUGGGAUGCUUGUAGCCUCUAGCCAGGAGGUUAGACAUGCCUGUGUAAGGUGUUAAGUCAGACAGCAUGCAAGUAGACCAGCAUCUAUCCUCCGAGCAUUUCUGAAGUUCAUUUGAGGUAUAAGUCAGUUGAAGUUGGAGUGAUAGAAGGUAAAACCCACCAAGGUUCAGUGUCAACACAUCAGGUGUUCAUCUGACCUUGGGCAAACCACUUCAUCUGUCUGGUCCUGGGUGUCCUCACCUGUACUCCAAAUGGGAGAGGGAAGGCUGGGGGAAAAUGUCCAGUGCAGGGACCCACCUGUUGGCUGCAGAAUCAGGAUACAAAGCCACACCAAAGUUUACACUCAGCUACUCUGCAGUGCUGUCUCCUUCACCUAUUUCCAAGGAGAUGUAGAGACGAGGAGACAUACCAAUUAGGAACCCUAAACCAGGAGGUGGCCAUGAGGACAGUACACAAAGUGUCUGCAGAAGCAUCUCUUCACUACUGACAUCCUGACAGCAUCUCUGGCUCUGGACACCUGCUGGACUCACCCUCUGGCUGCAGAGUGCCCUGAAGCUUCCCCGGCAGAAUGCAUUUGAUGUGAUCAGCAGGCUUGAUGCAAUGCUCAGGCCCCAGGAACUUCCCUUCUUCAUGGAGAAGUGAAACUAGAAUCUUCUAAGGGCAGCUGGCCUGUCAUCCGAGUCUCACUGAGGAGUGGCAGGAAGGAGUCUGUGAACCUGCGGCUGUGGCACCUGCAGGACAUCUUUGAUCUGUUGUGGUGUUACUGCCAAGGAGAGCCGAGACUGGUUUUCUUGGCUCUCCCUCUCUUGUCAUUUUAAGAAUAAAA
rnacentral:lncRNA from 1 species